UUAAGCAUAUCAAUAAGCGGAGGAAAAGAAACCAACAGGGAUUGCCCUAGUAACGGCGAGUGAAGCGGCAACAGCUCAAAUUUGAAAUCUGGCGCAAGCCCGAGUUGUAAUUUGUAGAGGAUGCUUCUGGGUAGCGACCGAUCUAAGUUCCUUGGAACAGGACGUCAUAGAGGGUGAGAAUCCCGUAUGUGACCGGCCCGCACCCUUUACGUAGCUCCUUCGACGAGUCGAGUUGUUUGGGAAUGCAGCUCUAAAUGGGAGGUAAAUUUCUUCUAAAGCUAAAUACCGGCCAGAGACCGAUAGCGCACAAGUAGAGUGAUCGAAAGAUGAAAAGUACUUUGGAAAGAGAGUUAAAAAGCACGUGAAAUUGUUGAAAGGGAAGCGCCUGCAACCAGACUUCGCGGCAGUGUUCCGCCGGUCUUCUGACCGGUUCAUUCUCUGUCGCGAGGCCAUCAUCGUCUAGGCCCGCCGGAUAAGACCUUGGGAAUGUAGCUCACCUUCGGGGGAGUGUUAUAGCCCAUGGUGAUGCGGCGAGGCUUGGGCGAGGUCCGCGCUUCGGCAAGGAUGAUGGCGUAAUGGUUGUCGGCGGCCCGUCUUGAAACACGGACCAAGGAGUCUAACAUCUAUGCGAGUGUUCGGGUGUCAAACCCCUACGCGUAAUGAAAGUGAACGGAGGUGGGAACCGCAAGGUGCACCAUCGACCGAUCCUGAUGUCCUCGGAUGGAUUUGAGUAAGAGCAUAGCUGUUGGGACCCGAAAGAUGGUGAACUAUGCCUGAAUAGGGUGAAGCCAGAGGAAACUCUGGUGGAGGCUCGCAGCGGUUCUGACGUGCAAAUCGAUCGUCAAAUUUGGGUAUAGGGGCGAAAGACUAAUCGAACCAUCUAGUAGCUGGUUCCUGCCGAA
rnacentral:rRNA from 1 species